CGUCACGUGGCAAUUCUGUGUGUCAAAAAUUCAUUAAUCAAAGGAAUCAUUUGAGUUUAUUCUACUCUCACGUUUGUCUGUACUUGAAGAUUCAACUUUUUUCAUUAACUUCUCAUUGACAUUACUCUCUAUCCAUACCACACAAAUAAUUAAACCUAAUUCAAUAAUGAUGAAUUGGAUUUUACUGCACCGAACUACCGAUACUCUAGGCUACUCUGGGCGGAGAAUAUACGUAUCACCAU
rnacentral:lncRNA from 1 species